rnacentral:tRNA from 1 species
GGGCACGUGGCGGAAUGGUAUACGCGCAUGGCUUAGGACCAUGUGACGCAAGUCGUGAGAGUUCGAGUCUCUCCGUGCCCA